rnacentral:lncRNA from 1 species
CAUUUCUAGCUCUGCCAACACAAGUUUGUUUUUUCUCCUUCGUUUUGGGAAUUGUCGGUCUUGGCUGUGCGUGUGCUCGUGCCUGUGGCUGUUGCUGUGGCCACCGAUGACCGAUGUGAAUUGGAAAUUUAUUAUCCACAGUAGAGGUGUCCACAUUUCGGAAUAUCUGAUCGAGGAUGAGAAGGAGGGAACAACACAAACAGCAGGGAAUGAAGGUAUGUAUAGAAGCCAAAAUAAUAUUUUGGUGUGGAGGGGCUGGAAAGAAAAUGGGGAAAAAUAAAACAGGGAAUAUUCUAACGCACCCGCGAUGUAUAUUUGCAAGCAGUGUCCCAAAAGCUUUCGAGCUCGAAAUACGAUGUCUUUCGAUGUGAUGAGUAUUAAUUAACACAGCUGUUAGCUAACCAACAAUUUUUCUACAUUUAUGUAUACAUAUUUAUGAUUUGAAAUGGUCUGUUCAUAUUUAUAUGUAUAUCCAUAAUACGAAAUCUGUGUAAAUAUUUGUCGUAUUUUUGUAUACUUUUCUUACACCAAUAAUCACGAUAUUUUUUUUAGAAAAAUCAUCAUGUUAGAUGCUUUAAGGUGGUCUAAUUGUCUAUGUAAUUAUCGAUGCAAAAUUUGGUUGCUAUAGCUUUUAUAGUCUCUGAUAUCCAGGCGCACAUCACGACGGACAGACAGACAGACUUGGCUGUAUCGACUCGGCUCUUGAUGCUGAUCAAGAAUAAAUACAUUUUAUAGGGUCGGAAACGUUUCCUUCUGUGCGUUACGCGUACUCUUCGAGUACCGGGAUAAAAAACAACAACCUAACACUUUUUUGAAAAGAUCUCUAAAAAAUGCUCACAUAGAAAACAAAGUUGUAUCAAACAAUUUCAAAGUUAUAAAUUUAUCAGAAAAGUUGUCUUAGUUUUAAAGCCGGGUAUUCGGCACACCAGAAAAUAUAAAUUCCUGUCAAACUUCAUAUAAAAAACCUGCUCCAAGAAUUUUUUGUUUGCUGAAUAUAGACGGGUAUCUAGCACCGCGGAAAAAAAAUUCCUGGCAAACUUCAUAUAAAAAAAACGAGAAGGGACGUGUGAGACGCUUCUUACGCGUCGCAACUUUUAUACCCGGCACUCAGUACUACAUCUGCACCUUAGCGGUGUUUUAAAAAAUUUUAAAUAUUUUCUUCAUCUGUCAUCUACAUCUACAACACUUCUCACACCAACACGCUCCGUUAGCUCGCCGCCCAUCCCUAGACCAACACACUGCAGACUCGAGGAGGAGGCAGAGGCACCGUCCGCAUACAAAAAAAAAAAAACAAAUAAAAGCUGCUGGACGGGGUGGGUUAAAAGUCGGAAGAGGCAUCGGCAGGGGGAGGGCAGAGGCAGGGGCCGAGUGAAGCAGAAGCAGAAGCAGAGUGUGAAUGAGAGAAUGUAAAAAGAUCAACAAAAGCUGCGGGACAGGGUGGGUUUAGCCACUGGAAAUUAAUUUCUUCAUUCUGGCCCAAUUUGGUGAUCUGAUAGAUAUGGUAAUUCCCUACGGAAUGGCGUGUUUAUUUUUCUUUUAUCUUCAAAAAUAAAGGUUUGGGAGGUUUUCGCCCUUUUGCGGGGUCGGAAGAUGGCGGGGCUAAUUACACUGGUUUCAGUGUGAGCAUACAGCAGUCUGGAUGCAAAAUUUGGUGGCUCUAGCUCUUAUAGUCUCUGCGAACUAGCCGACAAACAAGACGGACAGACAGACGGACAGAUAAACAUGGCUCAAUCGACUCGGCUAUUGAUGCUGAUCAAGAAUAUAUAUACUUCAUGGAGUCGUAAACGUUUCCAUCUGUGCGUUACAUACAACCGUUAUUCCCCACAAAUACAAUUCGCCCUAUUUACUUUUCGAGUACCGGUUAUAAAAAGUAACAAAAAGAGCUGGUAGUUAAAUUGACUCCGACGAUCUGUUUCGACUCUCUAUUACGUUUAUGAGCGCACUUGUUUCCUUCACCUCCUACACACCAGAAAUAAUUGUCAGCAUAUAUUUCUUACCUGUCUACCAAUUUUUAGUUUUUGUGGUGCUGGAUACGAGCUUUUAUCGCUUUUAUCUUCUCAACCUUUCAUUAGCAACGUUAAAUUAAAGUUCAAAAUACUGGUAGCUUUUCUGUGCCAAUCUCUGUCAAAAUCUGUCAGUCUGGCAAAAAUAUAAAGCAUACUCUUUCCAGACUCGCCCAGAUAUAUGUAUUUACAUACGUACAUAUGUGUGUAUAAUAAUAAAGCCCAAAGAGGAUCAUUGGAGUAGGAGAUCUUCAUAAUGGAUAUAAAUAAAAGUUUGCUACCUACACAAAAUAUACCGUAACCUUUAGAAUAUAUGCAAAUUUCAAAGUACUUCGUGUAUGUACUUUGGAGGUACAUCAGAAAAGUCAAUGUGUAUAAUUUCUGAAAGAAUAAUUUUCUUUAAUCAUGGCGCCAUAAACUCAGACCAAGUUGUAAGAGCUGUUAUACAAAGUAGAAUAAUAGGAAGAGAAUUAAAUUAAGAGAAUGAAGGGCAAGGAAUGCGCAUGACCAGGGUCCACAUAACUCCAGUCACCCUCUGAAAAACCACAACUCUCACGGUCAAGCCGAGUCGCAAACCUAUAUAUAAUAUUUAUAGCAAAAAACGACAAUCUCUCUUUUGAGAUCUGCGCAGGCGUCGAAUAGGCGACGUUCGGAGAGGAUAACAUUUCGUCUGUUACUGUGUAUGUUACUGUAGACGGGGCAUGGAAUGGAAUAAAAGGAAGGAGCCCCAAUCGAAUCGAGUUAGCCCCAAUCGAAUACUGGCUUGGCUUAGUGUGGCUUAACGUUAACUUUAUCUCCCUGCUAACCCUUUCUUCCUCUCUCUAUAUUGCCUGUGUCUAUGUCCUCAUUGCAUUUAUACAUAUAUCUCAAUUAGUUAUAACAAAUUUUAUUCGGCAUCAACAAAUCACUGCCCCAAGGAAAUCCAAAUGAAAAAAGUCGCUCGAAUUGAAAGGUAUCAGCUUAUUUUAGUCACAGCCAUUUCGACCCUACUUUGUUCGGGUAGGUAGUCGCCUUCCGUUAGCCCCGAUUUCUUCAUGGGAGGAAAUGCCAACAACUGCCUCAAGAAGCUGCCGGAAAACCGCCGUAUUUUCCAGUGGUGCCUCAAAACUGCCCACUGCCGUAGUCUUGCCCAGCAGUGCACUACUGCUUUUUUACCUUUUAAUUUCGCACUUGGGUCAUUUUGACAUUUGGUGUGGAUUAUACGACCACUUCAUAUUUACGAAACGAAAGGCAGGAAACAGAAUGGAAUGCUAGAAAGAACAAAAGCAACUUAAACAACAACAUUUUCUGACUGGCUCGCCAAGUGCAAGUUGAGCAAAAUUAAAGGCCAAAAAGGAAAAAUUAAAGAGGACCAUACUAUCCUUGCCAGUCUAGAGGUACCGUCAACUCAACUCGUACUCCCGUACCUCUGUGGUAUCGGCGGGACGCAAGCACUACAAUUUCUGCCAUUCGUCGUCGUGAAAGUCGGUAGAUCCAUGUCUAGCAAAAAGUACGAUUAAAAAAUUAAAUUUAAGCCUGCUGCUUUGCAAACAACAGGGAUGUAUCCGUUUUAACAUCAUUUUAUUGUAAAUACUUCGAAAUUGUCUCACAUCUCAGAGAUUUCAUGAGAUUUCACACGAUUUUAUGGAAAAAUGAAGAACCAUUGUUGCAUGUUAAUUUCUUUUUUUUUAAUUUUAAAUUUUAAAAGUUCAAAAGUAAAGUAUACAUAUUUUAAAAUGCCGAAAGCAUUAUAUCAGGGCUCGGCACGGUUUUAUCUAUUGUGCAUAGGACAAGGCUCUGCAGCGGUGCUGCCCCCCACGUAACUCAUGUAUUAUGCUGUGCUGUCUGCGCACCAUACGUUAAAGUAUAUGUAUGUACAUAUGCAUGUACUAUGAUAGUAUGUAUGUAUGACGAGCCUUUAAGUUGUUGUGUUCUGAGCCUGGCUGCUCUGUUUUGCGGUUUCUCUUUUCAAAUACAUUUUUUAAAUUCAAAUGUGUUUGAGAUGUUCUAUGAUGUGAGGAUAAAUAUCGCAUUCCUCCUCCUUAUUGCCUAUUUGAAGAGAUGACAUGAUGGUGAAAUAGUCUUAGAAUGUAGUAUACAAUAAAGAAAUGCAACCACAUCGAGAGGGCGAACUACUUUUUGUAUUAUUUCACUUUACUUCGUUCUGGUCUCUUUUCUGGUUCUGCAAAUCUUGAUUAUAAGCCACAUUAAUGUACAGACUUGCCCCAAGAAGGAGGACGGCUCGCAGAAAGAGUGGAAGAAUAGGUUUCCUAUACAAAUGCCAACAAACUGAGUGGAUCGGUGGUGGGGCUUCGACGAGCGCUUACCACCACUUUUAAAUACAACAAAACAAAGCAGCUGCAUUUCCAUGAAGUAGCAAGGUGACUCUUGGUUUCAGUGUUCUUGAAAACAUCGGAAAUGAGUUUUUAGAAUUUUACAUUUUUCCUAAAUCUGUUUUCUACAUAGUGUGGGCCGUUUUAGCUCGCCUCCCUUCCCCUGAGUCACACUUACCGAGGCAGAGCGUGCGAGCAAAAAUAAACAAAUCUGUUACAAGGGGUGGGUAAAAACAACUUGAUUCAGUGUGAUAUCACAUGAAUCUUCACCAAAAUUUUGGUGACCCUUUCUCUUAUGGUCUCUGAUAACGACGCGUCAAACAAGUCGGACGGACAGACAGAAAUCGUCAUAUCGACCCAGCUAUUGAAUCUGAUCAAGAAUAUAUAUGCUUUAUGGACUCGGAAACGUUUCCUUCUAUGCGUUAUAUACAUCCACUUUAUUUAUUUUAAUUUACCUAUUUACUCUUCCAGUGCCGGGUAUAACAACACACAUAAAUAGGUACAAAAGCGACAAGGGAAGCGGAGAUGGACAGGGAAAGGAAUGGAACGGAAAAGACGGAAAACAAAAGAGAUGUAGAAAAAGGCGCUACGAAUAGACAGCUGGGAACUAUGACCCCACACCCAAUCCUGCCGACCACCAACAAUUUUGGGAAGACAAAAAGGAAAGAAAAUUGCGACUUCGGUUAUGCUCUUUACCUUUUGCCAGACAUGCGAACGUAAAAAGGGGUCUAAAUAAAUUGGCAUAAUGUGGCUUAAGUGGGUAUAGAGUUCGUAUUAUAAUGAACCUGAUGAUAGCUCCAGCAGGGCCUGAAAAAGUAGAUGAUAUGCCCAGUCCUUCAAACCUUCAAACGUUCAACAUUUCAUGUCUUCAUUUGUCUGUUCAGAUUUAAUUCAUUUUUGAAAUACACUUGUAACAGUGAGCAUACAGAAGUCGGGAUGCAACAUUUGGUGGCUCUAGCUUUUAUGGUCUCUGAGAUCCAGGCGCUCAACAAGAUGGACGGACAGACAGACAUGGCUCUAUCGACUCGGCUAUUGAUGCUGAUCAAGAAUAUAUAUACUUUAUGGUGUCGGAAACGUUUCCUUCUGUGCGUUACAUACAACCGUUAUUCGCACAAAUACAAUAUACCCUAUUUACUCUUCGAGUACCGGGUAUAAUAAACAGACAGGCUCACAAAACUGGCUCAAACGCGUAAGAAGUAUAAAACCGGGGCCUACCUGAUACUGUCUUAUAUUAAUACUUAAGUACGAUUAUAUGUGAAAUACUAAAUACAAAUACUAAAUAAAUACAAUCAUAUAAAACAUUUUAAUAGAUGUUGAAUAAAUAAUAAUACAAGGAAUGUAGGAUUUAUUCAGGUUUUGUCACAUCCUACAUUUCAUUUGCAGUAUAUUUGCAUUCGUUUCUCUAAGACAUAGUCCUUGAUUAGUGUCCAUUUUGCCUGAUUUUGUGGCCAAGUUUAUGACGAAAUGGUGUAUUGUACUGCAGGGAUGGGAAGAUUGGAAGGGGCUAGCUCGCUUUCGUUUGUUUUUUUAAUUUAAAUUUAUAUUUAUAAUUCAUGGUCCAGUCCAAUGAACAGGAGCCACCCAUCCUCCCUUGCUAUUAUUGUGAAUUUCUGGUUUCUGUUCUCUGAGGUUAUUAAUUUUUGAGCCUUUUGCUGGGCCAAGAAUUCCAUUCGCGGUCUUGGAUUAGUUUACAGUUAUUUUAGAGGGUCAGGGCUAAGGCAACAAACGGCAAAGGCAGGUAAUUACUCUUUCGAGUAAUUGGAUGAAUGGAAUUGGAUUCCACGGCAGCCAGUGAGUAAUGUGGGUAAAAUUAGACGGAUUGUUAAGUGGCGUCACCAUUAGGUCAGCUGAGCAAGGGAAUAGCGAUAGGGAUAUUUCUGUGAACGAAAGCUCUAAACUUUCUUGAUACUCAAUUUUGUGUUACACAUUUUUAUUUUGCUGGUCUCUGAUUUUCACAAUUCUAAAUAACACCUUUUUGUUAGGCUAUUAUUUAUAACAACUGGGGCGCUCACGGGGGAAAAGGAAGUCUUUUUGAAAUAUCCACGUCUACCAGUGUUGUUGCUGCUUCUGUUGCAAGAUUUUAAUCUUUCAAAUAUCGGUAAAUGUUCUAGUUAUUCUCGAGAACUGUUUUGGUAUUCCUUUUUGUAAUUCUGUUUCCAUGUUUUUGUGGUUUAUGUCCUUCGUCUGGCCAUCACCUACAUUAGCGUCAAGUGUUAAGUAUAAUUAAAUACAAAUAUUUGUAUGGCUCACCUGCAUGUCGGGCGGCACGGGGUUACAGGUUGUCACAUGACUUUAUGGUGUUGUUCUCAAAUAAUUCAAAGUGUGGUGCUUAAAUGACGGGUGCAUGUCUACUUAAAUUAAUACUUAUCCUUUCACCUGUCCCUUCUCAAUCAGGUUCUUAGGUUCGCGACAACUGUGGCAUUGUCAGCUGACGCCGCUAUAAUAUUUGAAUAAUGCAUAUGCAUAUACAUACAUACAUACGUAUGUACAUAGGUAUAAUAUGACUUACUUUGUAGCUGCUAGGCAGAUGUCCAUAGUGUAAGGUUGUCACGCAGCAGCUACAUGAUGAGUUCAGUUUAUCCAGUUCAUCACUGGCAUCAUCGAAAGCGGGCUGUACCAAGUCGAUGGCCUACUACGAUGGAGCCAAAUCGGUUGCGAAUUCCCAGGCAGUAUUGUAAGAGCACAGCGACUGCUCUGACGCCUCCAUGUGGUUCCAGCCAAUGGUGAAUUCGGCCAAAUAGCGAAUCCCCGCAUCUUGUAGUAGAAUGCUUUGCCUUCCGUUGUAGUGUCAUUGCAUGGAGUUGAGAACAUUUUGCGCGCCUCCACAGUCAUCACAACGAAGUUCUUCAUGGGCGCAGCCAUGUCUGUACGGCCUGUUCAACCAAUUUUGUCUUGUAGAGAUUGUCCUGGUGUUCUGACGUGCUAAAAUACAUAUGAUAAAAUUUCUACUAAAAUAUUUCACAAAACAAUUCACACGAAAAGAUAUAUUUCCAUUGUGGCUUUCUGUAGUUUUAGCUUUUACAUGACAUUUAUUCUGUGUUUCUAGCUAGCCUGCCACUUUGUCGCCUGCUUUCUCCAUGUCUUCACAAAAAUGAGCAAAACCUCUUUUUCAACAUAAUUUAUUCUUAAACCGAUUAAGGGAUUUAUCCGAUUUUUCUAGUCAAUAAUUGCAUCAUAACGAACAGAAAGCUCGAAUAUCGGAUGAUGUUUGGGAGCUUUAAAGGUACAAUCAUAUGAUUUUUCGCUGACUUCAGUGGAAUUUCGGUCAAGCGCAGUUCUAUGCUCUUCCUACCUAUCCCUCUUAACAAGAUAAGCGCACGACCCUCGCUAUCAUGUUCUAACAGUGCACCGACUCUAUUUUGCUUACAGCAAAGUUACAGUUUACGAUCCACUUUCAAAGUUAUCUAUAGGAAUGCACUUUUAAGCGCCACCGAACAGGGAAUUCUGUUUGCAAUGAUCCACGCUACUUCCCUACGAGAUAUAUUUAAUAUUUUUAUGACCUUUUUCAUCAAGGCAUCUCUCCGAUGAUUCUGCGGAUGAAGAUGCUGCACAGAAAAAGCUGCUGGGACCACGACCACCCAAGGGUCCUAAAAGAAGGCCAUGCCCGGAAACGGAUGAUACUCGUAGUUGGCCGAUAUCGACAUGUGUACUCCAGAUAUCUCUCUGAGCUUGGCCCCCACAUCUCUACUGUUCAACCAAGCGCUUGCAAGCUUCUGCUGUCGGUGGAAGUGGCUGUGGAAUCAAGAGG